CCCUUAGAUGUUCUGGGCCGCACACGCGCUACACUGAAGGAGGCAGCGUGUACUCCUGGAUCGAAAGAUUUGGGUAACCCGCGAAUCUCCUUCGUGCUAGGGAUUGAGGUUUGCAAUUAUCCUUCAUGAACGAGGAAUUCCCAGUAAGUGCAAGUCAUAAGCUUGCGCUGACUACGUCCCUGCCCUUUGUACACACCGCCCGUCGCUACUACCGAUUGAAUGAUUUAGUGAGGACUUCGGACUGGGACCGAUGCGGCUUUCGGGCUGCGUCGGUAUUCUGGAAAGAUGUCCAAACUGUAUCAUUUAGAGGAAGUAAAGGUCGUANCA
rnacentral:rRNA from 1 species